AGACACGUGAGGAUGAGGAACAGAGUGUCAAGCUUGCUGAGAUUUUGGAGUUUUUGCUCGCUGCUGGUUAUUUCAGAGCACGUAUUAAGGGACUGUCACCCUUUGACAAGGUGGUUGGAGGAAUGACCUGGUGUAUAACUACAUGCAACUUUGACAUAGACGUUGAUCUGCUUUUCCAAGAAAAUUCCACCAUUGGUCAAAAAAUUGCUCUGACAGAGAAGAUUGUGUCAGUUCUGCCCAAAAUGAAGUGUCCUCACCGAUUAGAGCCUCAUCAGAUCCAAGGGUUGGAUUUCAUCCACAUCUUCCCCGUU